rnacentral:rRNA from 1 species
GAUGAACGCUGGCGGCGUGCCUAAUACAUGCAAGUCGAGCGAACAGACGAGGAGCUUGCUCCUCUGACGUUAGCGGCGGACGGGUGAGUAACACGUGGAUAACCUACCUAUAAGACUGGGAUAACUUCGGGAAACCGGAGCUAAUACCGGAUAAUAUAUUGUACCGCAUGGAUCAAUAGUGAAAGACGGUUUUGCUGUCACUUAUAGAUGGAUCCGCGCCGCAUUAGCUAGUUGGUAAGGUAACGGCUUACCAAGGCGACGAUGCGUAGCCGACCUGAGAGGGUGAUCGGCCACACUGGAACUGAGACACGGUCCAGACUCCUACGGGAGGCAGCAGUAGGGAAUCUUCCGCAAUGGGCGAAAGCCUGACGGAGCAACGCCGCGUGAGUGAUGAAGGUCUUCGGAUCGUAAAACUCUGUUAUUAGGGAAGAACAAAUGUGUAAGUAACUAUGCACGUCUUGACGGUACCUAAUCAGAAAGCCACGGCUAACUACGUG